rnacentral:lncRNA from 1 species
AUUAAUAAUAGCUGCUCUUUUGGGGAACUUGCUCUGAACCAGGCACUCGGCCAAGCUCUUUGCUUAUUCGGGGUUUUUUCAUUUCAUCCUCCCCACAACCCCACGAAGCAGGCACUGUUAUUAUCCCCGAUUUGCCCAUGACCCCAGAGCGAGGAAGUGGUGAGGCUAAGAUCUGAACCUGGGCGGUGAGAUUUCGGAACCUGCUUUGGUAAAAUUCUGAUUAAGGAAAUCACAUUGCUGCCCCAGGGUGAAAUCUAAUCUCAGACAUUGAUCGAAUGGCUUUCCUUCAAAGUUACACACGGAGCUGGGAUAUGUGAGAGGCCCUGCCAGGAAAUAACUAAGCCCAACACUACCUAGGAGGAGACUGUGGCGCAGGUUUGGGGAUCCAGCUUUGGCUCUUACAUUCAGUGUUUUUUCCUACUGUUUUACGAUAUUCCCGGGAGGAGCCCAAGACACGGGGAUUGCCAGGCAAACCAAAUUGCUCUGGGCAUCUGGAAAAAUAGAGACAUGUAAUUGGAAGAAGGAGAAUGGGGGAGAAAUGCCAAGUGACAAGCUGAGGACAUAUUGGGUGAGAAGUGAUGAGGGAGGGACAGGGCCAGAAGGAAGAGGGAUGCGAAUGAAUGCAGUCUGGGCUGUUGCUCACUGUGAGCAUCGAAUGCCGUGUUAAUGCCCUUCCGAAGGGAGACACCGCGUGCAGAAUAAAGACAGGAGCCAAGGUGGCACUUUGCAAAUAUAUGAAGCAUCUGCUUCCCUGUUGAAUGGAGAUGAGUAUGAUCGUCAUUCUUAGGCAAGUGUCCUGCAAGGGAACUGGUGUCUCCAUGGCAAGAAGAGGCCAACGAAGGACGGAAGUCCCAGGAGAGUAUCACGCACUGUGUCCUCUCCCACACAUCCUUGUCCAGGGUUGCUCGAAAGCAUCGGAGCUGACAGCCUGAGCCUCACCUCACUGUCCGCUAGGUGACCUGCCAAGCAGCGACAGGAAGGAGGGAAGAAGCAAAUGGUGAACGUAAUUUACAACCUAGGUCAUCAGUACCUCUACUAACAACGUGCACGUAGGUGGGCCACGUCUCGAACAUCUUCCUCUGCAAAGUGAUCUCGUUUUAGGAAAAGAAAACAAUAGCAACAAAACACCACCACAGCAUCAUGGAAUUUCAGAGCUGCCGUAAGCAUGAGAGGUCAUGCUAGAGUCUGGAAUCUAGACUCCUGUUACUUGAAGUAUGAUCCGUGGACAGCAUCAGCAGCCUACCUGAGAGCUUGUUAGAAAUGCAGAAUCCGGGGCGCCUGGGUGGCGCAGUCGGUUAAGCGUCCGACUUCAGCCAGGUCACGAUCUCGCGGUCCGGGAGUUCGAGCCCCGCGUCGGGCUCUGGGCUGAUGGCUCAGAGCCUGGAGCCUGUUUCCGAUUCUGUGUCUCCCUCUCUCUCUGCCCCUCCCCCCGUUCAUGCUCUGUCUCUCUCUGUCCCAAAAAUAAAUAAAUGUUAAAAAAAAAAUUAAAAAAAAAA